rnacentral:rRNA from 1 species
GAUGAACGCUGGCGGCGUGCUUAACACAUGCAAGUCGAACGGAAAGGCCCAGCCUUUGUUGGGUACUCGAGUGGCGAACGGGUGAGUAACACGUGAGUAAUCUGCCCUUGACUUUGGGAUAAGUUCGGGAAACUGGGGCUAAUACCGGAUAGGAGCUCCUGCUGCAUGGCGGGGGGUGGAGAGUUUCGGCGGUUGGGGAUGGACUCGCGGCUUCUGAGUUUGUUGGGGGGGUAGGGGCUUACAAAGGUUUUCAGGGGUCGCCGGCGUGAGGGGGUGACGGGCAACAUUGGGACUGGAAUACGGCCCAGACUCCAACGGGAGGAAGCAGUGGGGAAUAUUGCACAAUGGGGGGAGGCUGGUGGAAGCACCGCCGCGGGCGGGAGAACGGCUUUCGGUUUGUAACCCGUUUUCGCAUGUGCCGAAGCGUAAGUGACGGUAAUUAGUGAAGAAGCACCGGCUAACUACGUG